ensembl:lncRNA
ACUCAAAGUAUCCAAAUGUCUGAAACCCUGAGUCAGAGCCUAGAGAAACCUUAGGAUAAAAGGGAGUCACAGGCAUAGAACAAUUCGAAGUCUCACUGAGGAAAGGACACUUUGCCUCAGACUGGGACAAUCGGCACUCCCGCCUGCUGUACAAAGUAUUGGGACUUCCCUGGCUGAUUGUGGUGUGGAUGUUGGGAACCCACGAGUUCUGCUACUGAGAGCGUUGCCACGGACCCGCACUAAUAAGGAAGAUGAUGAGAAACCGGUGGUUUCCGUGCAGCUGACGCGGGUGCCACGGAAAACGACUGACGACUGACACGGCUCAAGUGGCAGGGCGGUCGGCGGGAAAGCGCCAACGCCGGCUGUGCGACCGACCAAGAUACAUCCCUUUCGGCCAAAGGAUAGGUAGUCCUUGGGAAACACUUGCUGGUAGAUGGAGAAAACCCCCCUCCCCCGCCCCCAUGUGUGGAGCGCCAAUCAGAGACGCAAUCACAAAACUUUGUCCCAGAGAGCUCACAGUGCUGGGAUCCAGCAAGCGCCCACGGGAAGCAACCUUAGCCGUGCUGCCACCCAGAAACAUCCGGCUACAUAAAACUAGCGGGACUACCAUCGACGAAUUACAGGCUGGGCGAAAAUAGCGGAUAGUUUUUGAUUUCCUGGGCUCAUGGGCAAACAAGGAAACUGCAAGUAACAAGCGACCGCACACUGCAAGGAGAAACUGCAGGAGAAAGAGAAAAAUUUGCAAUGCACACCGAAGACACAUCUUAAUGCAUUUUUUUAAAAGAUUUUAUUUUUUCCUUUUUCUCCCCAAAGCCCCCCGGUACAUAGUUGUGUAUUCUUCGUUGUGAGUCCUUCUAGUUGUGGCAUGUGGGACGCUGCCUCAGCGUGGUUUGAUGAGCAGUGCCAUGUCCGCGCCCAGGAUUCCAACCAACGAAGCACUGGGCCGCCUGCAGCGGAGCGCGCGAACUUAACCACUCGGUCACGGGGCCAGCCCCCUUAAGGCAUUUUUUAAAUUCUGUAAGUGGGAAGGUUUUGGAACGGAGAAUCUUUUCCUGGGGAAAGUUUCAAAAAGACUCCCGCUGCAUCUCAGGGCUCCUCAGCGCCAAAGACCCACCGGCAGCAACCCCAGGGCAUGGAGAACACCGCGCAAGGAAUCCACGCCAAGCAUGCUGAGAAAACCCGGUGUUGGCUCCACCAAGCGGGGACCGGAGGUCGACUACGAUCCGAAGGGGCUCGCUGUCACAGGUCUCUGUGUCCUGCUGUCUGUGGGCGGCAUCUUGCAGCCUGGCCCAGGGAAGCGACUGGAACGUGAGUCUGUCGGGUUCCUCUGCAGGAACCAACUCCCCUACGAUUGACUCUAACGUCUUCUGUGUGGCGGGCCAGAGGUCCGGAGUGGGCGGGGCUGGGCUUGGUUCCAAUGUGCCCUCGGAUCUGGGCAAGAGUCCGUUUUGCAGGCCAACCCUGGACAGCCGCCGGCUAGGACUAGAAAGCAGUUCCCAAUGGAAAUCACCGCCAGGGCAUAAGCACUCUUCCAGUACCGGGUAGAGGGAGCGGCCACGGCCCAGAAUCUUCGAAGCUCCGAGAGGACGGAGGCUGAGGCUCUGGCACCGCCUCUGCGGAAUCCCGAGCCUCCUUCACGGCGGCGAGAAAAUGCUGCUCCAUCGCUUAGGCCUCGGACCAGGACACAGGCGUUUGCUCUGAUCAAGGAGGCAAAGGCUUCAGCACCAGCACUCCGGGUAUUUAUGCUCUCCAGGGCUCGUGGGCGGAGGGAAGGCAGCGAAUGCAAAACGGAGAUCAGUAGACAAUGAAAUACGAAAAAAAUUUAGAGAACAUAGAGAACCGACACAAGUCAUUCCGAUAUAAAGACAUAUCGAGACGAAAGCAAACGCAAUGAAACGGAACAAAAAGCAAACCGUGCAGAGAACCAACCCUACAAAACUCAGGGAGCGCUGAGCGGUGCACAGACCACGAAACCAAAUGUGGCCUCGGAGAACAAAACGGCGCAGCCACUGGCCGCUGGGGCGCUGCGCUGGAGCGACGCUGCUGAAGAGAAACCCGAGACACCCGCGGCGCUGGCACGUGGCGAUGCCGGCGGGGAGCAAACAGUGGUGCUGUUCCCAAAGACAAAUACUCCUUUUGGAGCGAUGAGCUGUGCUGUCAAAGAGAAACUGCCGGCUCUGAGGAGCAGUGCUGCGCCCUAGAGACAUCGGGCUUGGAGGAAUGAAAGUUGCUGCCACGGAGAAAAAAGCCCACCGACUGGGUGCAAAUGUGUUGUGACAGAAAAAGCGCCAUCUACCGCUACUAUGGAAAUUGCAAACGCGCACGGCGACUCCCUGCAAAUAUCUGAACAGGAAUCGUCAGCUGGCGCUCUGGGAGACGGAAGCGGUGCCGGAACCCAGACAGCGCAGAUCCUGCGCAGAGAGCGGGACGCGACAACUCCCACUCCGGCUGCUAGUGCGGCGAUCGCGCUGCCAGGAGCGCUGCUGCCUCUGAAACGCCUGUGACCUGGCGGAGGUAGCGGGGCACCAGGGAGAAAUCUUGGCGAAAACAUCUGGGAUGAGACCGAAAAUCACCUGGAUCAAGGAAAGAAAGGAGAGGUGCGGCCGCCGAAUCACACAUCCGGCCCGACCCAGAGCCGCCCGCUCCUUCCACUAGCGGUCUGAGGCCACUGAGGACCCGCCGUCUCUGCUCGUAUCCCAGCCGCGCCCGAGGAAACGCUGACAGCGAGCACCUCACCUUGCUGAGUCCCAGCGAUGCGGGCAAGGAGCACAGAGCGGUGCCGGCCCGAGAAACACCCAGCUCUGAGAACCAGCCUGUUUGGAGGAUUGAACGUGGGCUACCGAGAAAAUGCCGCUACCUGGAUGCAAAUGUGUCCUGUGGCAGGAAUCCCGCCGGCUCUGCGGACAAACGAAGGUGCCAACGGGAACAGGAGCUCGGUGAGAGCGGCAGUGCUGGGACUGUGAGACCCUUCCAGGAAAACCAGCGACGCUGGCGCCCGGCGGGUCUAGGGGGAAUCAAAGGUGCUGCCCCCUAGAAAACGUCCAUUCUAUGCUAUUUAGGGCUCUGAUGCAAAUAAUCGAACAAAACGAAAAGGAAACAAAACACACCACAGGGCUCAGAGCUACUAGCGAAAGUGCUAAGGAUCGUCACAUGAGAAAGGAGAAAAUCCUGCCAUUUGCACCGACACAGGUGGAGACUGAGGGCAUUAUGCUAUGUUUAAUAAAUCAGAGAAAGAGAAAUACCGUGUGGUGUCUCCACAUGUGGAAUGUAAAAAGCUGCUCUCAUAGAAACAGAAGAAUGAUGGUUACCAGGGGCUGGGGGGUGGGGGAGAUGUCAGUCGAAGGGUACCAAUUUACAGGUAGAAAAUGAGUAAGUUCUGGGAUCUAAUGUACAGCAGGGUGACUGUAGUUAACAAUAAUGUUUAUACUUGAAAGUUGGUAAGAGAGUAGAUCUUAAAUGUUCUCACUAUAGAAAAGAAAUGGUAAUUAUGUAAGGUGAUUAAAGUAGCUGAUGCUAUAGGUGGCAAUCAUUUUGCAAUAUAUAAGUAGCAAAUCUACGUUUUAUACACCUUAAACUUACACUUGUUAUAUGUCAAUUAUAUCUCAAUAAAGGUGGAAAAAAACCAACAAAAACAAAAUGAGUUUUCAUUUCCACUUUUUUUGGGGAAAGCAGCACCUCCGCCAGCAGAUGACUUUAGAAUGGCUGCGUUGAUCAAGCCUCAGGUCCAAGUGUGCAUUAGGCCCCUGCAAAUUCCAGGUUCCCCCCUAAACCCCAUGUCACGCUAGAGCCCGGCGUACUGCUGCCCCCUAGUGGCGAGUCCACCGGCGCCGGACCCACUGCUUUUCUCUCAACCUGAGGGCCCCAAAACUUCCAGCCGGGAGAUUAGGAAACGCCCAAAUUGGCUGGGCUAUUGAAACCAGCCACAGUCGGUCUCCUCCCCUCAAGCCUCCUGAAAUGGUCGAGUUGGGUAAGAGGAAUCGUCAGGCCCAGCGCUGGGAGGGCGGGCUGAGAUGUGGUCUUUCAACUGAGGUGCAGGAUCUGAACACUUCUGCUCCUCAGCACCAUUGCCCUACUUGCAGGAAUGGAAGAUGAAGGCAUCGUGGAAAGAGGACAGAGUGUAUCUUCCAGCAGGGACCCACGGCCAAACUGUUUUGUUUUGUUUUUGCAAAUAAAUUUGGUAACCAUUGGGUGGUGGGGCAGGUGUCUCUAGUGGACUCAAGGGGACAUGUCUGUCACAGUUUUGCUGCCAUUCAAUUCUAUAAGUUGUUUUGCUUUCUGAUGCAAAGUUGCCUUCCCUGUCACAUUUUUUCUUUCUUCUACUUUAUUUUUCUCCCUGGAUUCAGCUCAUGUGAUAUCUCUGAGUCAGUGUGCCAUUAUCAUCAAGCCUAAAACCAAGAGUCAUGUAGCCUUUGAGGAGUGUGGCAUAAAUGUAGAUGUAUUUAGAAUGAGUCCCAAUUUUCUCUUAAUCUCAUCAUUCUUCUCUGCCUCUCAUGGAUACUCUCAAGUCCACCGUAACAGAAGAGGCUAGAUUCAGUGAUGUAAGUGACUUAUAAGGGAUAGACUAACACACCAGUGAAACAUAAUAUUGAGCCUCAAAACAACUCUGCACAAUAUGGAGGCCACAGUAUCUCAUAGAAUAUAAACACCACCAUUUGUGAGGCAUAUCCUGAUUCUCAAUGUGUUAAAAUAAGAAAAAAAAAUCUUAAAAUCCCUCUGAGUAUAACCAAUCCUCUAUCUUCGCUGGCACUCCCACUCCCUCCCAACCCCCUGGACUUUCACACCCUCUUGCUCCCAGUGAAUGGAUUCUCUUUUCAAACCUCUUGGGCUGAGAACCUUGGCCAGUGGGCAGGUAGACUUUAAGAUGGCCCCCAAUGAUUCCCACCUCCUAAUAUUCAUGUCCCUACUAUGAUCUUCUCUGGAGUGUGGGCUGGGCCUGCUUAUUUCCUUCCAAAUUCAGAAAGAUGAUUCCCUGGACUUUCUAGAUUCUCCAUCCUCCUGCUGAGCAGGACAUCCAGUUCCUUCUUCCAAGAGCUGAGGCUGAAGGUUUUGAUGCUCCAGGGUGAUCAUUUUAUGUGAAGUGCCUGCAAAAGCCCCUGUGCAGAAGGAGGGAGGGUGUUUGCGUGUGUGUGCAUGUUGUCAGGGGUCUGGGGAGAGGAAAGGGUUGGCUUGAGCCUUUAGGGUAAGAUUCCAUGUUUUGAGGCAUCUAAAGUUUUCUGGAAGCUGGACAAUGAUUUUGACUUUCUUCCUCUGGCACUAUCUCCAAUUUCUCUUUCUGCUUGCUUCUGUUUUUAGGAGCUCUCCUGCGCUCCCAGCUCCUUGCCUCCUGCUUUUAAAGUCCUGACUUGAGGUAGAUAGCCAGAUUUGUUUUUAAAGCUUUAUUUGAGCGUAAUUGACAUUUUAUUUACUGCACACAUUUAAAGUGUAUAAUUUACAGUUUAUAAUUUAAAGUGUAGCAUUUUUGAAAUUAUCACCACAAUCAAGUUUUCUGGGGCUCUUUUGUACUCCCUCCAUGCUGUGCCUUCCUGU